rnacentral:rRNA from 1 species
GACGAACGCUGGCGGCGUGCUUAACACAUGCAAGUCGAACGGAAAGGCUCUGCUUUUGUGGGUUGCUCGAGUGGCGAACGGGUGAGUAACACGUGAGUAACCUGCCCUUGACUUUGGGAUAACUUCAGGAAACUGGGGCUAAUACCGGAUAGGAGCUCCUGCUGCACGGUGGGGGUUGGAAAGUUUCGGCGGUUGGGGAUGGACUCGCGGCUUAUCAGCUUGUUGGUGGGGUAGUGGCUUACCAAGGCUGUGACGGGUAGCCGGCCUGAGAGGGUGACAGGCCACCGUGCGACUGAGGUACGGCCCAGACUCCUACGGGAGGCAGCAGUGGGAGAUAUUGCACAAUGGGCGGAAGCCUGAUGCUGCAACGCCGCGUGCGGGAUGACGGCCUUCGGGUUGUAACCCGCUUUCGCCUUUGACGAAGCGAGAGUGACGGUAAUCGGUAAAGAAGCACCGGCUAACUACGUG